UCCUUGUGCCCCAGCACCCAUGUCUGGAAGC
rnacentral:piRNA from 1 species